GACGAACGCUGGCGGCGUGCUUAACACAUGCAAGUCGAGCGGUAAGGCCCUUUCGGGGGUACACGAGCGGCGAACGGGUGAGUAACACGUGGGUGACCUGCCCUCAGCUCUGGGAUAAGCCUGGGAAACCGGGUCUAAUACCGGAUAUGACUCCAUGACGCAUGUUGUGGGGUGGAAAGCCUUGUGCGGCUGAGGAUGGGCCCGCGGCCUAUCAGCUUGUUGGUGGGGUGAUGGCCUACCAAGGCGACGACGGGUAGCCGGCCUGAGAGGGCGACCGGCCACACUGGGACUGAGACACGGCCCAGACUCCUACGGGAGGCAGCAGUGGGGAAUCUUGCGCAAUGGGCGAAAGCCUGACGCAGCGACGCCGCGUGAGGGAUGACGGCCUCCGGGUUGUAAACCUCUUUCAGCUCCGACGAAGCGAGAGUGACGGUAGGAGCAGAAGAAGCACC
rnacentral:rRNA from 1 species